AGAGAAUCGCUUGAACCCGGGAGGCAGAGGUUGCAGUGAGCGGAGAUUGCGCCACUGCACUCCAGCCUGGGUGACAGAU
rnacentral:snRNA from 1 species